GAGUUUGAUCGUGGCUCAGAUUGAACGCUGGCGGCAGGCCUAACACAUGCAAGUCGAACGGUAACAGGAAACAGCUUGCUGUUUCGCUGACGAGUGGCGGACGGGUGAGUAAUGUCUGGGAAACUGCCUGAUGGAGGGGGAUAACUACUGGAAACGGUAGCUAAUACCGCAUAACGUCGCAAGACCAAAGAGGGGGACCUUCGGGCCUCUUGCCAUCGGAUGUGCCCAGAUGGGAUUAGCUAGUAGGUGGGUAACGGCGUCACCUAGGCGACGAUCCCUAGCUGGUCUGAGAGGAUGACCAGCCACACUGGAACUGAGACACGGUCCAGACUCCUACGGGAGGCAGCAGUGGGGAAUAUUGCACAAUGGGCGCAAGCCUGAUGCAGCCAUGCCGCGUGUAUGAAGAAGG
rnacentral:rRNA from 1 species